ACUCAAAUGAAUUGACGGGGACCCGCACAAGCGGUGGAGCAUGUGGUUUAAUUCGAAGCAACGCGAAGAACCUUACCAGGUCUUGACAUCCUCUGACAAUCCUAGAGAUAGGACUUUCCCCUUCGGGGGACAGAGUGACAGGUGGUGCAUGGUUGUCGUCAGCUCGUGUCGUGAGAUGUUGGGUUAAGUCCCGCAACGAGCGCAACCCUUGUCCUUAGUUGCCAGCAUUCAGUUGGGCACUCUAAGGAGACUGCCGGUGACAAACCGGAGGAAGGUGGGGAUGACGUCAAAUCAUCAUGCCCCUUAUGACCUGGGCUACACACGUGCUACAAUGGAUGGUACAAAGGGUUGCGAGACCGCGAGGUUUAGCCAAUCCCAUAAAACCAUUCUCAGUUCGGAUUGUAGGCUGCAACUCGCCUACAUGAAGCCGGAAUCGCUAGUAAUCGUGGAUCAGCAUGCCACGGUGAAUACGUUCCCGGGUCUUGUACACACCGCCCGU
rnacentral:rRNA from 1 species